UCAAAAUCUCCCUCUUCUUCUUCUUCCUUUUAUACAAUCCGCCCCUCCCCAUUUUCGUAUAAACCCUAGCCGCCGCGCCCUUCAAGCCGCUCAACGCCGUCUCCCGACCGACCUCCUCUGCGCACCUCGCCUAACGGUGUCGUCCGCGAGCAUCGGCGACCCAAACUGUGCGAUCUCUCCCUUCUUAGUCGCGUUUCCACGCCUCUCCUCGCCGCUGACUCUUCGCACUGGAGUUUCGUACGCCUCCGCUCACGCUGCGUCGGUCGUCGUCAACUCUCAGCCGUCCGCGGGUGCCAGAUCUAAGGUCGUGCGCGUCCUCCGUCGUUCGUGGGUUCGGUGCCAUUGCUGAUCCGUCCAGUCGUCCAAUGCCGCUUCUUCGUCCGGUGCCGCCCAGCUCCUACCGUCGUCGCGGUUGCUGUCACAUCUCUUUUGAAAGCGAGAUUCAGAGGAUUUUGGGGUCGUUGGGAGAUUGAUUUUUCGUCAGGAAUUGUUAAGUUUGGGUAAGAGUAGGGAUGCACCGGCGAAUAACAAGCGGAAUCCGUGAUCGAGCAACUGGGACUAGUUUUUAUGCUUUCGCUCAUAGGACUUAGAUUUCCUUCAUGUUUUUGCUAAAUUUUCAGUUUGAUGUUUGAAACUUAUUAUUGAGAAUUGUUUUUCAUACUUAUUUAUUAACCUUUAUGAUUUAUGGGUACCCUUUCAUUGUUUUAAUAUUUGCAUUUAAUAGAGGACUUUUGGACUCCCCUUAUCUAUUUAGCAUUUAUUUCA